UACGUAGGGGGCUAGCGUUGUCCGGAAUCAUUGGGCGUAAAGCGCGUGUAGGCGGCCCGGUAAGUCCGCUGUGAAAGUCGGGGGCUCAACCCUCGAAAGCCGGUGGAUACUGUCGGGCUAGAGUACGGAAGAGGCGAGUGGAAUUCCUGGUGUAGCGGUGAAACGCGCAGAUAUCAGGAGGAACACCCAUUGCGAAGGCAGCUCGCUGGGACGUUACUGACGCUGAGACGCGAAAGCGUGGGGAGCAAACAGG
rnacentral:rRNA from 1 species